rnacentral:rRNA from 1 species
UACGUAGGGUGCAAGCGUUGUCCGGAAUUAUUGGGCGUAAAGAGCUCGUAGGCGGUUUGUCGCGUCUGCUGUGAAAACGCGAGGCUCAACCUCGCGCCUGCAGUGGGUACGGGCAGACUAGAGUGCGGUAGGGGAGAUUGGAAUUCCUGGUGUAGCGGUGGAAUGCGCAGAUAUCAGGAGGAACACCGAUGGCGAAGGCAGAUCUCUGGGCAGUAACUGACGCUGAGGAGCGAAAGCGUGGGGAGCGAACAGG